CUUGAGUUGUCUCUCAUGUCUAGACCAUUUGUGAGAAGGGAGUUUUUGUUUGCACCAAUACCCACCAAUCUCUAUAUUUGUAAGAAGUAUUAUGCUCAAUUAAGGAAAAUAGUAGUUCAACAUACCACACUACCCUUUUAAGUAGUAUCAUCCUAUAUGUUAUCUGCUACCUUAGCUAAAUUUUGCGUUCUCAUGGUGCUGCAGUAGGGUUAGUUUCUUGUGUACCUCUAGAUAUACAUUCUCUUGCUGCGUAGGGUUCCCAAGCUGUCAAAACUAGUGAUCUGUUCCCCUUGAUAUUCUGAUCCUUCAGAAGUUAGGUAUAGAAGUAAGUCGAUUAAGUUCAUUCAUGACUUUUCCAGAUGUUGCAUACAUAACUUUUUUUCAUUUGUAUUCGAACUAGUCCAAGCCGAUUCUCAAAAUCAUAUAAAAUCAUUUACACCUUGGUCAUGGUAGCUAAGAAUAUUGUAUCUAAAAUUGGGGAGUGGGGAGAUGUUUGGUUAUAUUCCCUUCUCAUCGAUGGUCUAGAUGUGCGAGGUGACUCUCAUGGAGG
rfam:Arabidopsis thaliana pre-miRNA 824, ecotype Fei-0